AAAUUGAAGAGUUUGAUCAUGGCUCAGAUUGAACGCUGGCGGCAGGCCUAACACAUGCAAGUCGAACGGUAACAGGAAGAAGCUUGCUUCUUUGCUGACGAGUGGCGGACGGGUGAGUAAUGUCUGGGAAGCUGCCUGAUGGAGGGGGAUAACUACUGGAAACGGUAGCUAAUACCGCAUAACGUCGCAAGACCAAAGAGGGGGACCUUCGGGCCUCUUGCCAUCGGAUGUGCCCAGAUGGGAUUAGCUAGUAGG
rnacentral:rRNA from 1 species